rnacentral:lncRNA from 1 species
CCGACACCAGUAAUCUCAUGCCAAAUUGAAUGAAAUGAAUAUGUAGUGGGCCAAGAAAUAACAAUUCCCACCUGAUAUCUAGGAUUUAAGAAUCAAUGUGCAUAUCCCUGGAAUUUCUGCUACAAAAUUUAAGAUAACAACUUGCAUCCGUUGAUAUGAAGAAUAUCUAUGAGAAUAUUCUUGCAUACAUCUCCUUGGAAAUCAAAUCCUGUUUCCUUCGCAAACUGUUCUACUCCAGCCAAAUUGUGAAUUUGAUCAAUGACCUGUCACACCUCGAAUCCAACAGCUGGAUCGGAUACGUGAUGGCCGCACACUCCUUAGAGCAUGCCCUAAAAAAUAUACAAGGCCAAAAAUAAUUCCAUACAAUCUCAACAUUCAUAAUAUCUAAUUUCAAUAAUAACUUGUAAAACUUGCAUAAUUACAAUUGAAAUUCUUUCAAUCUUCUGAUCAGAUAUCAUGACAUUCUAUCUAUUCAUCUGCUCACCCGCAAUCCAAACCAUAGUCAAUCAUGAGCAUCCUAUAUCUCUGAGAAGAAAAAGAAAGAUGAAGGGGUGUGACCUUUACAGCCAAGUAAGAAUUCUCAUAUCACACUAAUAUAAUAAUAUAAUCUAAAAAUAAGAAUAAGUAAUAAAACAUAAAAUCUCAUAUUCAAUAUCCGGAAUAAUGCAAACAUCUAUAAAUUAUCUGUCUUGUCAAAAGAGAUGCAUCAUCAUAUGUUAAUGGAUGAAAUACUUUUGUUCGACAAUUAUUUCAUAUCUUAUCUUUCAUUUCUCUUUUCAUAAUCACAUGAUUUUUAACCUUUUCUUUCUGACUCUGGACUAACCAAAUCUAUAUCUCAGUCUUUAUCCGAACAAAUUUUUACUCAAA